GUUGUUGAUGAUGAUGAUGUUUAAUUUCUAAACCCUAAACAUUUAUUUGUUGUUGUUGGAGAUAAUGUUAAUGAAGUUAUUUUAUUUGUUUUGUUGAGAUAUGUUGUGAAUACGUUGUUGUUUUUGUUGAUUUUUAGUGCCUAAAUCCUAAAGGUUCAUUUGUUGAUAUAUGUUGUAAUUAUGUUGGUAUUGUUGUUGUUGAUGUUUAGUGAUAUGUUUAUUGUUGUUGUUCGUUUUGAGUAAAAUGAUGGUUUUGUGUUAUUUAGAUAUGAAGAUUUUUUAGUUAUGUUGUUGCAUGAAUGAUUGAGGAUAAUGCUGUUUUUGAUGGUGGUGUUGUUGUUUUUAAGAUUUGUUUAAUGUUAUGAUGUUGUUUUGCACAUAGAUGGACUAUUCAUCUAGUGAUGAAACUCAGGAAAAUGAAUGUUAUACUAUAGAGGGAAAAAGGAAAAGAAAAUCUAUAGGUGCUUCAAUGAUGGCUAGAUUAACAAAAGUCCACAACAAUGACGGGAAAUUAACGACCGAGUUUAAUGAUAAAACUUCGACUUGUUAUGGUAUGAAUUCUUCCCUUUUUAGGAGUUAUGUUGUGUUUCUUGGACGUGGCAAAAUGAAUAUUUUGAUAGACGAUUUGACCCAAGUAUCAGUAGAUUUGAAAGAAAGCAUAUGGACAAACAUUAAGGUAUUUUUUUACAUGAUUCGAUAGAAUUAUUUUUACAUAAUUUGAUAGUAUUUUUUAAAUUACCAAUGCAUAUUUAUUGAUGUAACUGUAGUCCGCUUUUGAGUUUACUGAUGAAAAUAAGUUAAAGAAAAAGUGAGUCUCUUAUGUUGGAGAGCGUUGGAGGGGCUUCAUGUUACAACUCACGCCUAAUUACAUUAUUAAGCCUAAGUUUGAUAUUGAGCAUCCAACGGUGAAAUAUAAUUAUAUUUAGAAGCAUAUUUGGGAGAAGCUUGUCAAGUCUCGUAUUUUUGUCGAUUUCUUAGUUAGUAGUAAUCUUAUCUUCUGAAUAACAAUUUUAGGCUUAUGCUUUUUAGAUAAAACCAUGUAAAUUAAUUUUUCACUAUAUUUAUAACAAGUUAAAGUGAAUCUAGAAAGAUAAAUAAGGAAAAUAAAUAAAUAUCCCUCAUAGAUUGUCUCAUGGGGGUUUCAGAAAAUUUGAGAAAGUAUUGCUUAAUGAAAAAUAAACAAUAAUUGGGAGAUGAGGACUCAUCAACUUGUAACCGCAUCCCAUCUCCACCAUCAUGAAAUAAGAAGUGUAAGAGGGACUUACAAACACCAACUGGAGAAUUCACUUCAGAUGUCUCACGUGCACUCGCUGAGAAGAUUGAUUUUUUGAUUGAUAUGGCCACUCAAGAUUCCUUUGUUCCAUAAGUAUGACAUGAUAUAUUAGUAGAAGCAAUCGGAAAAAAGGAGCACGGUGGAAGUGUACAUGAUGUUGGAGAAGGUAUCAUCUUGAGAUUAUUCUUUGGUGCCUCGAGAAAGAGUAAAGAAUUUCGAAAGAAAGCCAUGGACGAGCUCGUUGAUAAGAAGUUAGCACAUGAACGAGAAACCCAAAAGAAGGAGUUUGAAGAUAAAUUAGCACAUGAGCACGAAUCCCAAAAGAAAGAGUUAAAGGAAAUGUAUGAUAAGAAAUUGGAAGAUGCAUUAACACGUGAAUGGGAAAUGCACACAGAAUAUUGGAAGACCUAUACGUGGUAUGUGAAAAUAGUGUUUCGUGUGUUAAAUCUAUUAUGUGUUAUUGUAGCAUAAAUAAUGUUUUUACUUAUAUGCAUUGUGUGUUUUCGUUCUUUUUAUGAUGUAAAAACUGGCACUGAUGGGUGUAAUUGUCCAAUCAAGUACAAAAUGAAGAUAAUGAAUUAUCUGAAA